UCCCUCUCAGGGUCGCACCUGGAGAGUUUCCAGUCCUCUACCAGUCUCGACUUCGGGAGGGAGAGUCAAGCAGAGGCCUACCCAUUUCUAGCUUGGGCAGUGGCUAGCGAGUGGAAGGCAAUCUGCUACAAGU